GGGGAACUGGAGUCAGUGGCUGCUUUGUGGAGAAGGAAGAGGCAGUGCUUUGAGGAGGUGCCCAUAAGAAACACCAAGCAGAUGCUGCAAUCUCAGUCUGAGACCUAAGAAUUAGCCUGGAUUCAUUUCUAAUUGCAUAGCUUCAUGAGAAAGAAGAGACUUGCCAGCUUGCCCAGCGUCUCCAGUGAUAUUUCUUACUCUCAUUAAUCCCUGGAACUCUAUUAAUGUGAUGUGUACACAUGCACAAGACCAUUCUGCUCAUUACGUGCAGCAUGUGGAGAGAUUUUACAUCAAUAUCUUCAUUUUUCUGGUUGUUCCCUUUUGGCAGGAACAACAAAGGGUAAAAUCUGCCUCUCCUAUAUGGAGUGAUUCCACACACUGAAACAUUUCCAGACAUUCCAAACAGAAGCGCAACCUAAUAUUUUGCUGUAUUAAGUUCUCCAGUUUCCACCCACGGGUGAGAAUUUGGUGACUCCAGGUGUUAAAAUCCCCAUCAGACUCUUUACUUGCAUUCAGUACCAGCUAGAGAAAAAUUAAAGGACUCUUUUAAAAUAUGAAGUUUAAUUCUAUCCAGAGUGAUAAAGAGUGGGUUAGGAGCUCAGAAUUUGGAGUUCAAAUUUAUUCCAAUGGUGGUCUGGAUUUUUAUGCCAGAGAUGUAUUUUCUCAUGCCUGUGAGUAGAACAAUUAAAACAAGUGUAUUUACACAGGCAGACCCUUCGGCCUUAUUUUGUGCUGUGAAAAUGCUGUUGGAUUGUCCCAGCCCCUCUGCUGUAACAGAAGCACAGCGCACUCUGCCUCGGAUGGAGCCUGGGUGAGCAGAGGCUCUUUGGGCAAAUCAUCUCUCCUCCAUCUCCCACAAGCCUUUUUUCUGUGUUCCACUUUCACAUCUGAGACAUAUAGACACUCUCAUCCAAAGACAUUCCUGCUUUUUGACAAUUGAGCACCUCUUGGAAGCAGAACCCUGCUUCAGGGCAAGCAGUGGCACAGUGGAGUGAGGGCAACUCCUUCCUCCUGAAUAAAUGCCGUUAAUGUGUGGGACAGCGAGGUGGUGAUUCAUGACUGAGCACUGUAGGCAAGCACAAAGCUUUUAAAUGCUAAGUUUAGGCUAAGAUUCCAACAGAUAAGCAACCUGGAAGAUGGGAUGCAGAGCAAUGUGGGAAUUCUGACACCACAGACUAGACUUCCAGUCACUGGAUAUUGCAUAACCUGAGAUAAACAGAAAUCUUUGUUGUGAAGCUUAAAAAAAACCUCCUCAGGAUGGAAUGCUUGUUGAACAUAAUGCUGCCUAAUUUUGACUCUGUCAGCUGUCAAAUUCAUCUCCUCAUUUAAAAGAAAAAAAAGUUAAAUAAACCAAAGUUUAUGAAACAUA